CUCUGACUGUGAUGGGCGGUCAAGAAAAGCCACAAGCAUGGAUGGACGUUAAUUCAAGGCAACACAAAUCACCCCUCACACGCUUGUCUGGAUGUUUCACUUCAACUGCGCCUGUCCAAAUACUUCCAGGGGUGCUUACACACUGACCAAUUUCAAAAAUACAGGCAGACGAAUAAACGCACAAAUCGAUCUUGCUUUUCAGAACUCGCUGCAAUACAUGGCAAAUUUUCACUUCUUGAGCUUCUAAGGUGAGUGACUUCUGGGUAAGAGAUACGUGUAAGUGCCUACACAGACGGUUUAUCAAUUACACCUACAGAAAGAGAGUUUAGCCAGUCGGGACUCGAUCCACUGUGGGGGAGAGAGAGAUAGCUAGCGAGAGAGCUUGGUGCAAACAGAAUGCACAACAUGGCCUGCCCUCUCUCUGACACCUCAUUCUCUCUCUUCACGGAUCAAUGCGGAACCUGCCCACGGGAGCCCCCGUAUCAACCUGAAGUUUCUCCCGAGCAGCGUGGGCCAGCUCAGAUACAUGCGGCCCUUUUGUUGUCAAUUACACCACCAGCACUGGUCUCUGGGAGGAGGAAUGACUGUCUUGUUUAACUUGAGAUCAUGUCUUUUUCUGAGAAGACUGAGUUUGUGUUCACCCACAGUCCAGCUAUCGAGGUCAUCACACCAUGGUGGUGCCACGUUGGCCAGUAACCCUCUCCAUGCAUGUGCCCCGAACACACCAACAAACACACGCCUCUGCUAAUCAAAGCUCAGGCAGCUACGGCUGGGGAGGCAACUUGUCUUUGUGAUAGAGAUUUCUCCAUGCAUGACACUGUUCGACCGCCAUGCUGGACUGCUCUCUGAUCAGCUGUGACACUGACUAACCUCUCCACGUCUGCAGCAUACAGGCUGUGAGUAAUACAGCCUCAACGAGAACGGACUGCGGCAUGCCUCUGCCUCAGCGGGCGGCGAUGCCUCGGACACAUCAGAAAAUGGAGAAAGAAAAACAGACGCUCCUCUGGUUACCUUGUGUCAACAAUGAUUUAGCUGUGUGCUGUAUGCUUAGAAUAUAUGUGAAGAAUGUAGCACGGUCAUUGGGUGGCGCUAGACAACUGCUGCUAAACAGAAGAAUCUCAGUGGGCGAAUGUCUGAAGUCCGCAAACUCAGUGUUGACAAAGAGAAAUGGAGGAAGGUAAAAGCUGUCGAUGAGUCAGGAGGUCUAUAAACCCUGGAGGAAGCUGUCUGUUAGCAUUCACAUUCAUCUUAUUGAACGUUACUUCUGAGGGGUUUUUCGUAGGGCUCCACAAUUAAUCAAAAUAAAAGAUAUGGCUUAGUGUGGUUAUCAAA